GUGGGGAAUAUUGCACAAUGGGGGAAACCCUGAUGCAGCAACGCCGCGUGAGUGAUGACGGUCUUCGGAUUGUAAAGCUCUGUCUUUGGGGACGAUAAUGACGGUACCCAAGGAGGAAGCCACGGCUAACUACGUGCCAGCAGCCGCGGUAAUACGUAGGUGGCGAGCGUUGUCCGGAUUUACUGGGCGUAAAGGGAGCGUAGGCGGAUUCUUAAGUGGGAUGUGAAAUACCCGGGCUUAACCUGGGUGCUGCAUUCCAAACUGGGAAUCUAGAGUGCAGGAGGGGAGAGUGGAAUUCCUAGUGUAGCGGUGAAAUGCGUAGAGAUUAGGAAGAACACCAGUGGCGAAGGCGACUCUCUGGACUGUAACUGACGCUGAGGCUCGAAAGCGUGGGGAGCAAACAGGAUUAGAUACCCUAGUAGUCC
rnacentral:rRNA from 1 species